rnacentral:rRNA from 1 species
AGGCGCGAAACCUUUGCAAUGCACGAAAGUGUGACAAGGGGAUCCUGAGUGCUUAAGCAAUGCUUAGGCUUUUGCCAAGGGCAAAAACCUUGGAGAAUAAGUGGUGGGUAAGACGGGUGCCAGCCGCCGCGGUAACACCUGCGCCACAAGUGGGAGUCACAAUUACUGGGUCUAAAGCGUCCGUAGCCGGUUUGAAAAAUCUUUUGUGAAAUUGUAAAGCUUAACUUUACGAAGUGCAGAAGACACUAUCAGACUUGGAACCGGGAAGAGCGAGAGGUAUUCCGAGGGGAGCGGUUAAAUGCUAUAAUCCUCGGAGGACCACCGGUGGCGAAGGCGUCUCGCCAGAACGGAUUCGACGGUGAGGGACGAAAGCUAGGGGAUCAAACAGGAUUAGAUACCCUAAUAGUCCUAGCUGUAAACGCUGUGAGCUAGAUGUUGCAUAAUCCUGUGAUUGUGCAGUGUCGAAAAGAAGUUGUUUAGCUCACCACCUGGGGAGUACGGUCGCAAGGCUGAAACUUAAAGGAAUUGGCGGGGGAGGAC